rnacentral:RNase_P_RNA from 2 species
UGGGCUGGCCGGGCGACCGCGCCGUACUCCUCGGAGUACGUCGAGGAAGGUCCGGGCUCCACAGGGCAGGGUGGUGGGUAACGCCCACCCGGGGUGACCCGCGGGACAGUGCCACAGAGAACAGACCGCCUCCGGGCUCGGGCAACCGGGCCGGGGGGUAAGGGUGAAACGGUGGUGCAAGAGACCACCAGCGGCUCGGGCGACCGAGCUGGCUAGGUAAACCCCACCCGGAGCAAGGUCAAGAAGCCGCGGUUUCGCACCGCGGUGCGCGUGCGUUCGAGGGCGGCCCGCCCGAGCACGCGGGUAGAUCGCUGGAGGCUGUCGGCAACGGCAGUCGUAGAUGGAUGGUCGCCACCCGGACGCCCGCAAGGGCCCCGGGGACAGAACCCGGCCUACAGGUCAGCCCGUCCG